UGAACGCUGGCGGCAGGCCUAACACAUGCAAGUCGAGCGGAUGAAGGGAGCUUGCUCCUGGAUUCAGCGGCGGACGGGUGAGUAAUGCCUAGGAAUCUGCCUGGUAGUGGGGGAUAACGUCCGGAAACGGGCGCUAAUACCGCAUACGUCCUGAGGGAGAAAGUGGGGGAUCUUCGGACCUCACGCUCUCAGAUGAGCCUAGGUCGGAUUAGCUAGUUGGUGGGGUAAAGGCCUACCAAGGCGACGAUCCGUAACUGGUCUGAGAGGAUGAUCAGUCACACUGGAACUGAGACACGGUCCAGACUCCUACGGGAGGCAGCAGUGGGGAAUAUUGGACAAUGGGCGAAAGCCUGAUCCAGCCAUGCCGCGUGUGUGAAGAAGGUCUUCGGAUUGUAAAGCACUUUAAGUUGGGAGGAAGGGCAGUAAGUUAAUACCUUGCUGUUUUGACGUUACCAACAGAAUAAGCACCGGCUAACUUCGUG
rnacentral:rRNA from 1 species